rnacentral:rRNA from 1 species
UAUCUGGUUGAUCCUGCCAGUAGUGAUAUGCUGCUCUCAAAGAUUAAGCCAUGCAUGUCUCAGCCUCAGGUGCCAGAUAACUUCGCUGCGAAUGGCUCAUUAAAACAGCUAUAAUUAAUUUGCUCGUCCUGCCUUAGUUGGAUAACUGUGGCAAUUCUAGAGCUAAUACAUGGCUGCAGGUAUAAUUACAUUGUAAUACCGUGCUUAUUCGGCGCAGAAUUAACCCGAAUUUUCGGUGGAAGGGUGAUUCAUAAAAAGACUUACUGAGCGAAAGGUACUAGCCGUCGCCAGUUCAUUCAGAUAUCUGACCUAUCAGCUUUCGACGGUAGGGUCGUGGCCUAUCGUGGCGUUGACGGGUGACGGAGGAUUAGGGUUUGAUUCCGGAGAGGGAGCCCGAGAAACUGCUACCACAUCCAAGGAAGGCAGCAGGCGCGCAAAUUACCGACUACUAAUACAGCGAGGUAGUGACAAGCAAUAACAGGGCAACUCAGCAAUCUGACGUUGUGAUUGGGAUGAGCGGAAUACAGAUAUUUGCGCGACUACCGAUUGGAGGGCAAGUCUGGUGCCAGCAGCCCGCGGUAAUUCAGCUUCAAUAGCGUAUAUUAAAUUUGGUGCGGGUGAAAAACUCGUAAUUGGAUAUCUGGUGGAAGAAGGAGUCGUCGCUUCGCGGUAGUACCGAGUCCGAUUUUGGCAUAGCCCGGGAAAAAACGCUG